GCCGCCACUGAGGGUUUUUAUUAUCGCUUUAUCCUGCAUGUUUUGAGUCUUGCGUCAGUCAGUUUUGAUUUUUCAAUUCAAGAGGCAGAAUUAGUUAUUGGGUCGGACGAGGCUCUGGAAGACGACAUCAGUUAUGAGCUUUCAGCUUUGAUUGGUCGGUGAAAGGGUGAUUCAUUUCGCUGCUAUGGAAUCAACUCUAUUGUCACUAUGGAGACCUCUCCAAAAGGUGAGCAUAAAGCUGGGUUUAUAUUUGAUUUAGUUUUAUCAUUCGGUGGGUUUACGGAGAAUGAUUUCUGUGGGUUCGUGGUCCUUCUACAACUGCAUUUUGCUUAUUCAUCAACUCUCUAAAGGCGAGAAUCCGAAGAGUGUUGAUUUUUUUUUUAUGCAGAUUUUUGGGUGUAGGUACAUUAGUUCUCUAUAAAGAAUACUAAUUAUAAAGAGAUACUUAAAAUUUAGCAAAAGUUAAUAAAAAAAAAUCACACGUGAAUCACUCAAUAUAUCACACUCAACAAUUAGUUAAAAGAAAAUAGAAAUUUUAACACAAUUAUUAACUCGUACAAUUAUCUCAUUUAGGGUGAAUAAAUUGAAAAAAAAAUUAGAGUGAUUAAAAUAGAAUAUACUCUAUUUUUUAGAGUGACCAUGGGUGUAAUUAACCUUAAAAUAUAUUUGGUCAUUAAAUAGAAUGUCUGAUCUCUUUUUUAUUGAUAUAAUAACAAAAUUCAAUAUAUUUCGCUCUCAAUAUUUACAAAUUAUCAACUCAAUCAUUAUUUUAAAUAUUUAAAAUUUUAUAAUUAUAAAAUAUUUUUAAAAAAUUAAAAUUAAUAAAAAUAAAUUAACUCAACUAUUUUUAUAAAAUUAAAUUAAAUUAUGAAAACUAUAAAAUAUAAAAUUCUAAAACUAAAAAUGAUUUAAAAAAUUAAAAAAUAUAUAAAUUAAAAAAAUAAGGUGGCAUGUAAAACAGGUGUCCCCUCCCUACAUAGCGACACCCUUCUAAUUUAAAUAUUAUUAUUUAUUUUAAAAUAUUAUUUUUUAUAGAUAGUGUCUUAAUAAGUUGGUUCAUUUCAAUACAUUCUCAUAAAUAAUUUUUUCCACUCCAAUUUUGUAAAUAAUUUUUUUGUAUUAUUUAAAUAAAAACCCCUUUCAUUUGAGAAUAAAAGAUAGUACACCUGCACUCGAAAUUUUUUUUUAUAAAAUCACUUUAAACUAAAUAACACUUCAGACCAACAAGUGUUAAAUGCACAUAUUACAUUUUCAAAGGAAAAAGCUCUUUGAAAAUAGCAGGUUUAAGCUUUAGAUACAACAUUAUUAGUAGGAAUAAUCACAAACUCUAAACAUAAACUAUAAAAUAGAUAUGAAUAAUACCAAAAACAAAUAACCCUUUAGAACUCCCAUAUCAGGCCAGGUGGCCAAAAGCUAUUCACUUAUAAAACUCAUCUGAUUACGAGCCUCCAAGCUCGAAACAAGUAACGGAUCUUUAUUUGGACAAUUGUUUUUAGAGGUAGUGCAUGCGUCCUACCGUGUGUGUGCAUAGUAUUUGUGAGUACUAAUACUCUAAAAUUUUACAGCACAAAAAGAAAAACACCGUCUUAUGUAGCAACAUCAAGAUAAAGAUUUCAUGACUUCUCUUUUUCGGCCCCAAAGGGGCAUGAAUCCAUGCAAAGCUCAAUCAACCUUCCAGCCGAAAUUAGUGUAUAGGGUUACAAUUCGCAACAUGAGAAGAUUAGAAUCGGCUCUUGAGUGCUCAAAAUACAAAAUACAAAAUACAAAAUACAAAAUACAAAAUACAAAAUACAAAAUCAAUAUAUACUAUACAAAGAAUCACAAAGAAUAUUAUAUAUAUAUAUGAACGUGCAUGAGACUUCAGCUGACUUUCAAUGGAACUGACACUAUCACGUGUUAACAGAGAACCCAGCAAUUACAUUUGGCGUGAUAUUAAACCCUAAUACUUGCAAAUGACUAUGAUCCAAAGUGUAAAUACCCGUAUAACCUGACUACCAUAACACUUGAAGGUCAGUGUAACCUAUUAUGUGCUUCAAUUAUGGAAACCUUCUCCUGCCAAAAACAAAAAACAAAAUUAAACAAAUUAGUAUUACAUCAAAAUGUCCCCCCCCCCCAAAGCAAUAUUCAACUUUAGAUUUUGCUUUGUAUGAAUGAUGAAAUAAAGCGAGGAUAAAAAAUUUGUUCAUAAAAUGAUUAAUAAAUUUUCCUUCCUCGCUCUUUUCCAUCAUACCAAGUAAAGUGUCGGUUAUUGUGCAACUGCUCAGGUUUUCAAUGCUAGAGAAUGUUUACAUCGAAAAUGGUUGCAAUGCGAUAAUUACAAAUACAUUAAAAACAUUAUGUCUGGUUUAGCUUAGCAUGUUUCAAAUACUGCUCUCUUAAUAUGGUUCCUCGCCUGACUAGUGGCAUGAGGACUUUGGUAGAGAAAAGAGUAGAUGAGUGUCAUGAUGCCAUUACAGAUUUGAAAAGACGCCCACUUUCCAUGUAAGGUCCAAAUUUGUUCAGAUCAAAGUCUAUAAGCUAAGGGAGAAGGUUGGUAAUUUAGAGAUUGCUAAUGAUCGCUCAUGUCUAUAUGCAAAGCUAUGUGCAUGCAUAUGUGAGAAUAAUGUAUUUCCAUGAAGAUGGAAAGAGAGACCUCAUUUGUUGAGCUGCUUUCUGAGGGAAACCAUUGCAAAAGAACCCCCAAGUUCAUGACAUAUGGUAUCAAUUUGAACAUAAGAGGUGUUGUUACCUGCAUAAGUAGUUUGCUAUUGUUAAUGUUGCAGGCUUGCAGCCAUGAAAGGGACAAAGAAAAGCAUACUAUAAACCUUAAAAAUGUAAUUUCCAGAUCAGUGAAACCUACCAGACUGAGAGCUGUCGUUCCAAGAAGAAGAAGAUACAUCUU
rnacentral:lncRNA from 1 species